rnacentral:rRNA from 1 species
CAGCAGCCACGGUAACACGAAGGGGGCUAGCGUUGUUCGGAAUUACUGGGCGUAAAGCGCACGUAGGCGGAUAUUUAAGUCAGGGGUGAAAUCCCAGAGCUCAACUCUGGUACUGCCUUUGAUACUGGGUAUCUUGAGUAUGGAAGAGGUGAGUGGAAUUCCGAGUGUAGAGGUGAAAUUCGUAGAUAUUCGGAGGAACACCAGUGGCGAAGGCGGCUCACUGGUCCAUUACUGACGCUGAGGUGCGAAAGCGUGGGGAGCAAACAGGAUUAGAUACCCGCGUAGUCCCUGUCUCUUAUAC